UGGGGAAUAUUGCACAAUGGGCGCAAGCCUGAUGCAGCCAUGCCGCGUGUAUGAAGAAGGCCUUCGGGUUGUAAAGUACUUUCAGCGGGGAGGAAGGGAGUAAAGUUAAUACCUUUGCUCAUUGACGUUACCCGCAGAAGUAGCACCGGCUAACUCCGUGCCAGCAGCCGCGGUAAUACGGAGGGUGCAAGCGUUAAUCGGAAUUACUGGGCGUAAAGCGCACGCAGGCGGUUUGUUAAGUCAGAUGUGAAAUCCCCGGGCUCAACCUGGGAACUGCAUCUGAUACUGGCAAGCUUGAGUCUCGUAGAGGGGGGUAGAAUUCCAGGUGUAGCGGUGAAAUGCGUAGAGAUCUGGAGGAAUACCGGUGGCGAAGGCGGCCCCCUGGACGAAGACUGACGCUCAGGUGCGAAAGCGUGGGGAGCAAACAGG
rnacentral:rRNA from 1 species